rnacentral:rRNA from 1 species
UGCCAGCAGCCGCGGUAAUACGGAGGGUCCAAGCGUUAUCCGGAUUUAUUGGGUUUAAAGGGUGCGCAGGCGGAACUUUAAUCAGUGGUGAAAUCUUGCCGCUUAACGGUAAAAUUGCCAUUGAUACUGAAGUUCUUGAAUGUAGUUGAGGUAGGCGGAAUGUGUUGUGUAGCGGCGAAAUGCAUAGAUAUGACACAGAACGCCAAUUGCGAAGGCAGCUUACUAAGCUACGAUUGACGCUGAGGCAAGAAAGCGUGGCGAGCGAAAAGGACUAGAUA